UCUUAAGACCAUACCACCCUGAACACUCCCAAUCUCGUCUGAUCUUGGAAGCUAAGGAGGGUCGGCCUGGUUAGUACUUGGAUGGGAGACCACCUGGGAAUACCAGGUGCUGUAGGCU
rnacentral:rRNA from 1 species